UGGGUGGUAGCUCAGUGGUUAGAGCAUCAGUGACAAUCUGAAGUUCGUUGGUUCGAAUCCAGCCCACCCCA
rnacentral:tRNA from 1 species